rnacentral:rRNA from 1 species
GAUGAACGCUAGCGAUAGGCCUAACACAUGCAAGUCGAGGGGCAUCACAUGAAGUAGCAAUACGGAUGGUGGCGACCGGCGCACGGGUGAGUAACACGUAUGCAACCUGCCUUCAACAAGGGGAUAACCCGUUGAAAAACGGACUAAUACCCUAUAACACAGGGGUCCCGCAUGGGAAUAUUUGUUAAAGGACAACCGGUUGAAGAUGGGCAUGCGUUCCAUUAGCUAGUUGGCGGGGUAACGGCCCACCAAGGCAACGAUGGAUAGGGGAACUGAGAGGUUUAUCCCCCACACUGGUACUGAGACACGGACCAGACUCCUACGGGAGGCAGCAGUGAGGAAUAUUGGUCAAUGGACGCAAGUCUGAACCAGCCACGUCGCGUGAAGGAAGACGGCCCUACGGGUUGUAAACUUCUUUUAUACGGGAAUAAAGUGCCCCACGCGUGGGGUUUUGCAUGUACCGUAUGAAUAAGGAUCGGCUAACUCCGUGCCAGCAGCCGCGGUAAGUCA